rnacentral:rRNA from 1 species
UACGGAGGGUGCAAGCGUUAUCCGGAUUCACUGGGUUUAAAGGGUGCGUAGGCGGGCAGGUAAGUCCGUGGUGAAAUCUCUGAGCUUAACUCAGAAACUGCCAUGGAUACUAUUUGUCUUGAAUACUGUGGAGGUAAGCGGAAUAUGUCAUGUAGCGGUGAAAUGCUUAGAUAUGACAUAGAACACCCAUUGCGAAGGCAGCUUACUACACAGUGAUUGACGCUGAGGCACGAAAGCGUGGGGAUCAAACAGG